GAUGAACGCUGGCGGCGUGCCUAAUACAUGCAAGUCGAGCGAACAGACGAGGAGCUUGCUCCUCUGACGUUAGCGGCGGACGGGUGAGGAACACGUGGAUAACCUACCUAUAAGACUGGGAUAACUUCGGGAAACCGGAGCUAAUACCGGAUAAUAUAUUGAACCGCAUGGUUGAAUAGUGAAAGACGGUUUUGCUGGCACUUCUGGAUGGCUCCGCGCCGCAUUAGCUAGUUGGUAAGGUAACGGCUUACCAAGGCAACGAUGCGUAGCCGACCUGAGAGGGUGAUCGGCCACACUGGAACUGAGACACGCUCCAGACUCCUACGGGAGGCAGCAGUAGGGAAUCUUCCGCAGAGGUCGAAAGCCUGACGGAGCAACGCCGCGUGAGUGAUGAAGGUCUUCGGAUCGUAAAAAUCUGUUACUAGGGAAGAACAAAUGUGUAAGUAACUAUGCACUUCUUGACGGUACCUAAUCAGAAAGCCCCGGCUAACUACGUG
rnacentral:rRNA from 1 species